rnacentral:rRNA from 1 species
AUACGGAGGAUCCGAGCGUUAUCCGGAUUUAUUGGGUUUAAAGGGAGCGUAGGCGGACGCUUAAGUCAGUUGUGAAAGUUUGCGGCUCAACCGUAAAAUUGCAGUUGAUACUGGGUGUCUUGAGUACAGUAGAGGCAGGCGGGAUUCGUGGUGUAGCGGUGAAAUGCUUAGAUAUCACGAAGAACUCCGAUUGCGAAGGCAGCCUGCUGGACUGUAACUGACGCUGAUGCUCGAAAGUGUGGGUAUCAAACAGGAUUAGAUACCCUGGUAGUCCACACAGUAAACGAUGAAUACUCGCUGUUUGCGAUAUACAGUAAGCGGCCAAUCGAAAGCAUUAAGUAUUCCACCUGGGGAGUACGCCGGCAACGGUGAAACUCAAAUGAAUUGACGGGG